rnacentral:lncRNA from 1 species
CCAUCAAGACCAAGCGCAGCAUCCAGUUUGUGAACUGGUGCCCCACUGGCUUCAAGGUUGGCAUUAAUUACCAGCCUCCCACUGUGGUCCCUGGUGGCGACCUGGCCAAGGUCCAGAGAGCUGUGUGCACGCUGAGCAACACCACAGCCACUGCUGAGGCCUGGGCUUGCCUGGAUCACAAGUUUGAUCUGAUGUAGGCCAAGCGUGCUUUUGUGCACUGGUACGUGGAUGAGGGCAUGGAGGACGGAGAGUUCUCUGAGGCCCGUGAGGACAUGGCUGCCCUAGAGAAGGAUUAUGAGGAGGUUGGUGUGGAUUCUGUGGAGGGUGAGGGUGAGGAAGAAGGAGAGGAAUACUAGUUCAUUCCUCCAGUCCCUGUAUCAUGUCAAACUCAAAAGUCCAGCUCCAGCACUAGNU